rnacentral:rRNA from 1 species
AACGAACGCUGGCGGCAGGCCUAACACAUGCAAGUCGAGCGAGGACUUCGGUCCUAGCGGCGGACGGGUGGGUAACGCGGGGGAACGUGCCCUUUGCUUCGGAAUAGCCCUGGGAAACUUGGAGUAAUACCGGAUGAGCCCAUUGGGGGAAAGAUGUCUUGGCGAAGGCUCGGCCCGCGUUGGAUUAGGUGGUUGGUGGGGUAAUGGCCUACCAAGCCGAUGAUCCAUGGCUGGUUUGUGAGGAUGAUCAGCCGCGCUGGGCCUGAGACACGGCCCAGACUCCUACGGGAGGGAGCAGUGGGGAAUCUUAGGCGAGGGGGGAUACCCUGAUCAAGCCGUGCCGCGUAAGCGAUGAAGGCCUUAGGGUUGUAAAGCUCUUUCAGCUGGGAAGAUAGUGACGGUACCAGCAGAAGAAGCACCGGCUAACUCCGUG